rnacentral:rRNA from 1 species
CGGGUGAGUAACGCGUAAACAACCUGCCCUUCGGAUGGGGACAACAGCUGGAAACGGCUGCUAAUACCGAAUACGUUCUUUUCAUCGCAUGGUGAGAAGAAGAAAGGACGGCCUCUACACAAAGCGGUCGCCGAAGGAGGGGUUUGCGUCUGAUUAGCUAGUUGGAGGGGUAACGGCCCAACAAGGCGACGAUCAGUAGCCGGUCUGAGAGGAUGAACGGCCACAUUGGGACUGAGACACGGCCCAGACUCCUACGGGAGGCAGCAGUC